GGUUUUACGAAAGAGUUGGCAGCCCUCCUCAACAGCAACAAUCAGCAGGAAACAAAAACAAAAUUGUUUGGUAAAAUGCCUUUCGAUUUGGAUGCGCAUGACAAGCUGCUGAUCACCUCCAUAGAGCAGGAGUAUAAAUGCAGGCCGAAUACAAAAGUUAGGUGGCAAAUAUGUGAUGCCCAGCUAUGCUAACUCCUUGCGUUGUCUACCCAUAGAAAGUGUUUUCGGUUCACAAUCUCGAUUUCCCGGCGACAAAAGUCUUCCGCUCUUAAAGUACUUGCAAGUCAGAAGAAGAAUAAACUCAUAGAUAAACUCAACAACAAGGAGAAGGAGUAUGUUGCCGGCAAGGAGCACAUAUUGGACACUCCGCCCACCGAAGAUCCGCACUACAUAGUAUUCGUGAAGUGCCAGCAGGACGUGCACUGCUGGGUUUGGGUUAAGGAGGGCGAGUUUAAACCCCUUGGCUUUGAGUAAAAGCAGUAUACAUAUACUCUUGCGCAUAGCUGGGCACCUCCUUCUCGUCCUUCCUUAGAUGUCCAGUUGAACACAACAGGUGUGUCUUCGCACCUAAUAAAAUUGCAGAGGAAAAUGUAUGGAACUUCGGCUGGUCAAGUUUUUCAUUGUUUCGUCCAGAAAGACGAUGUAGUAAUAUUUCCGUGAGCUAGCUAAGAUUUAAGGUGUGGAGCGUCUGUCCUGGGAUUGGAUUCAGUCCGCCAAAUGGCGUAAGUUUGUAAGAAUCGUGUUCUUCAUCAUCUAUAUCAUUAUUUUGCACUUGCACUUUUACUUGAGGGGUAAAGGGGAUUGAGAAACAAGAUUUGUCGUUUUAAUCAAUUAUAAUCGAUCUGGUAUUUUUAAUGUUCUUAUCAUUGAUUACAUCGUUUUACAUUUUGGAUAAUAUUAUAAAUAAAUUCUUCUAUUAUUAACAUUAUAAUUAGAAUUGAACG